UGACCGCUGGCGGCGUGCCUAAUACAUGCAAGUCGAGCGAACAGACGCGGAGCUUGCUCCUCUGACGUUAGCGGCGGACGGGUGAGUAACACGUGGAUAACCUACCUAUAAGACUGGGAUAACUUCGGGAAACCGGAGCUAAUACCGGAUAAUAUAUUGAACCGCAUGGUUCCAUAGUGAAAGACGGUUUUGCUGUCACUUAUAGAUGGAUCCGCGCCGCAUUAGCUAGUUGAUAAGGUAACGGCUUACCAAGGCAACGAUGCGUAGCCGACCUGAGAGGGUGAUCGGCCACACUGGAACUGAGACACGGUCCAGACUCCUACGGGAGGCAGCAGUAGGGAAUCUUCCGCAAUGGGCGAAAGCUUGACGGAGCAACGCCGCGUGAGUGAUGAAGGUCUUCGGAUCGUAAAACUCUGUUAUUAGGGAAGAACAAAUGUGUAAGUAACUAUGCACGUCUUGACGGUACCUAAUCAGAAAGCCACGGCUAACUACGUG
rnacentral:rRNA from 1 species